UACGGAGGAUGCAAGCGUUAUCCGGAAUUAUUGGGCGUAAAGCGUCCGUAGGUGGUCGGUCAAGUCUGUUGUCAAAGCGUGCGGCUCAACCGCAUACGGGCAAUGGAAACUGGUUGACUUGAGUGCGAUAGGGGUGACAGGAAUUCCCGGUGUAGCGGUGAAAUGCGUAGAUAUCGGGAAGAACACCAGUGGCGAAAGCGCUCUGCUAGGCCUGUACUGACACUGAGGGACGAAAGCUAGGGGAGCGAAUGGG
rnacentral:rRNA from 1 species